AUAGUACUCCCUCCGUCCUAAAAUUCUUGUCUUAGAUUUGUCUAAAUACGGAUGAAUCAAGUCACGUUUUAGUAUUAGAUACAUCCGUAUCUAGAUAAAAUCUAAGACAAGAAUUUUGGGACGGAGGAAGUAUUUA
rfam:Triticum aestivum genome assembly, contig: Triticum_aestivum_CS42_TGACv1_scaffold_329309_4BS